CCCUGCCGGAACUCCGUUGAUUUCAAAUACAUCAUCAGCUCCCGCAGACUGCAAAUUCAGGAGAAGCAACUAGGAUCUGGGCACUAUGGUGUUGUAAAAGAGGGUAUGCUUUUUGCCAGCCAAGAUGACAGAUCAAAUCCACAGAAGAUAGCAGCAAAAGAGUUGAAGGGGGAUUUCCAGAAUGUUAUUGACAGCGAAGAAUUCAAAGAAAGGCUGUGCUGAUGUCUAAACUGAGCACGAUAACGUGGUCAAGUUCUUGGAAUCAGCGACAACAUGUUGAUCCUAGAGUAUGUUGAAAAAGGAGCCCUGAACAUGUACCUUAGAAAAUUUAGGAAACAGAACACCUACCUUCCUGUGUGGAGAUUGAUGAAGAUGAUAAGUGACGUGGCUCAGGGAAUGGCCUACCUAGCCAGUAUGAGAGUCAUCCAUUGUGAUUUGGCUGGAAGAAACGUUUUGUUGACUGAUAAACUGGUGGCCAAGAUUACAGACUUUGGGUUGGCAAAGAUUUUGCAAAAAGAUAAGGACUAUUACACGAGAUCCACUGGCAAAGAACUCCCUUUGAUGUGGUGUUCUCCGGAGAUAUUGCCAACCGAAAAUUCACAACCAAGGGGGACAUAUGGAGCUAUGGUAUUCUGAUGUGGGAGGUCUUACUCACGCCAAGCCACCGGUUUCUGUGCAGCAAUUUCUCCAAGGAGGGAUUCAAAAAAUUGGGGAGGGAAAACGCCUCAAGAGACCAACCCACUGUCCAGAAUUGGUUUAUCAAUUCAUGGAGAAGUGCUGGAAAUUCAAGCCAGAAGAAAGGCCAGAUUUCAAUGAGGCUUGUCAGAGUUGCAGGGAGUUUUCAAAAAUUUACCCGGAACCAGAACAAAGGGUGCCAGACCCACCCCCUGAUGUACCCCCUGGAGUAUCUGAACCCAAAAAAGAGAAAUUAACAGUCCCACCAGAUGAUAAGAAGUUACCCGCUUCUGAUAAUCUGAAGUACAUGAUCAACACAAAUCUCAUCAGACUGGAAGAAAAGAUCAUUGGAAAGGGACAUUUCGGAUCUGUAAAGCGGGGCACUUACACUCUCAAAGGAAAAGACAUUCCCAUUGCAGUUAAAGUCUUUCAAGCCAUGCAGAGAGAUAUGAUCGAGAAGGAGAUGUUCAAAGAAGUGGAUGUUCUAGGAGCUCUAGAUAACCCUCAUAUUGUCAAGUUACAUGGAUUUACCAAAAAACCUGAUAUAAUGAUGAUUAUGGAGUAUGUUGAAAAUGGAUCGCUGAAGAACUACCUAGACCAGACAAGGACCAGUGGUGGCCGGGUACCAGAAUCUAGACUGAUUGCCAUAGUGAUAGAUAUUGUCAAGGGCAUGGAGUACCUGUCAGAAGUCAAGGUCCUUCACUGUGACCUUGCAGCCAGAAACAUUCUGCUGACCAAGGAUUACAUGGCAAAGAUUGCUGAUUUCGGUCUCUCCAAACUGAUGACAGGAGACAAAGACUACUACACAAGGAAGGGUCAGGACUUCAUACCGCUGAUGUGGUGUGCUCCAGAGGUCAUUGAUAAAACAAAGUAUUCAUCCAAGACAGAUGUGUGGAGCUUCGGUGUUGUAUUGUGGGAGUGUUUCAGUCAGGGCCAAACACCAAAGAUCUUUGAUGUGGGAGACAAGGAACUUCGGAAAGUGACCUACUAUUACUUGGAGAAAGGGGGACGCCUUACAAAACCCAGUGGUUGUCAUGACGAGGUGUAUGACCUGAUGCAGAAGUGCUGGGAAUGGGAGGCAGAUAAACGACCCCCGUUCAAUCAAAUCUUUGUUAGGUGUCUACAAUUGCAAGAAAUGCUCGGCAAAGCGUGAACUGUGAAUUAAAAUGACAUCUGUCAUUAUAGCUGGAAUAGAUAAUAAAUUGAUCUCGAGUGUCAUACUCACAGUGUCUUGUAUGUGGGAGCUAUGAAAACCUUACAUUUCAAUUCAACUGGACAUGUACAUACAUGCACACCCUUGUUUGUAGUAUUGGAUUAACAUACAAGUAGGAUGCAGAUGUUGGAAUUUUAAAGCUUUGUGAUUACCAGGAUACAUAUAUAAUGGCAGACAGAUUAGUGGAUGUUUUAUAUGUUAUUGGGAGAAACCUAUGAGACACUGAGAUAUGCCACUGUGUAUAUGCAAGUACAUGCACAACAAAUUGUACAGGUAUACUAUCGUGUUGUAGUAAAAAAAGAUAUCAGGACUCUAUCUAUAACUUAAAAAAGUUAUACUGUCAUGUAUAACAAAGAACUGAUAAGAUGGCAAGUACAGUGAUUUGGCAAGUUGUUGAAGUGAAUAUUUAUGUAAAUACAUUUUUCCUCCUUUAAUGUAAAUAUGCUCCAACAUGAAAACCUUUCCAUAUACAGUAUAUUGGGAUAAAACAGGAUUUAAAUGUUUAAACUGUUAGGAAAAUUGUAAUGUUACAGUAUCUGUUUAUUGUUGUAUCACUUCAGUUGAUAGGGUAGCAUGCAUGAUCCAACAUUUCUCAUUUUCUCAUAUCAAAAACUAUAAAUAUUCACAAACAUCUUGUAUAAACAGUAAAACAAGCUAGCCUUAUAAGGAAGUGGCAGGGAUGGGUGAUUUUAUUUUAUAAUAUGUGUAAUUUUGUUAUAUACAUUAAGUUUACAACAUGUAAUAUAGUCACGGGGAAUAAAAAUAACUUCGCUGUAAGCUUCAAUUCAUUAUAAGCGUGUUUGCUAUAACCGUGUUUUACUGUUCAUGAUUUUUUUAAAUUUUAUCUUUGUCACUAGUCAGUAAUGGUGAUGAUUUUUUUAUGGUAUCAGUGCAUAUACUAAAAGGAGUUUUCUGCUUUUUAUGGAGAUUUUAUUUAAAAAUCAUUUAACAUCGCUAUAAGUAGACACAAUUUUCUUGUGAAAGGCUGCAGGAUUUAUGUAUGUAAGUUUGAAUUCUCUCUUACUAAAAAUUAUACAGAGAGUCAGUUUUAUUGGUAUGGUAAUUGUUGACACAACAAUGGGGGAUCUGCUAUAUAUGGUACAUGUUUAUAUUAUUGUGGGAUUUAUUUGUAUUUUCUAACAGCACUCUGUCAUUAAGAAGCUUAUAAGGAAGAGGAUGAUGUGGUGUCUAUUUACAUGUAUACACUCAUUAUAAAUAUCAUGUUGUAGCUAGCUACAAUUCAUGUUGUAGCUAACUACGAUUCAUGUUGUAGCUAACUACGAUUCAUGUUGUAGCUACAUGUAGCUACGAUUCAUGUUGUAGCUAGCUACGAUUCAUGUUGUGGUUGGCUUUAUUAUAUUAUGGUUAUUGUUAUGUUCAUGCAUUGCAUCUUAAAAAUAUUCUAUGCAUUAAUGAUUACAUUUUAAAUUUAUAAAUUGUUAUUGCCUCUCAAGUAAAAUGCAAAGCAACUUUUGGAAGCAUUUAUGCAUUAAUUAAAACUCUGUAUGUGUAACAAAAGGAUUUACAUGUAUAUAUUUUUAUGUUUUUUGUACAGGUGUUACAUUAAAAAUUU
rnacentral:misc_RNA from 1 species